ACCAGCGAUGGUGAAGUGAUGGAUGGAUCCCCUUGUUAUUGUUGUUGUUGUGGGUUCUGAUUCCUGUUUCCCGUUCCAAUGCUUCUGCUACUGUUUAUGCGAUUUCGAUGCGAGGGAGGGAUGGCGCAUUAAAGUGGGUCUCCCAAAGCACCACCCCUGCUGUGUGGUCGGUGUCGAGAAUCACCGUGGUCGGAAAAUGGGAAUGCGAAUGGUUGCUCCCCACGUUGGUUGUUUGUGGCCUUCCAGAAACUGUAGGUCUUCCUAGCUUGGUUGCAACUGCUCACUGUUGGAUUCUGUAGGGACCCCAUUUACAGUGAAACCAUUUUCCACGCACAACAUGAAAGGGUUUUCAGGGCAUAAUCAGCAGCAGCCCGGCAGAUGUGCGUAUGGGGUUAUUGCAAUUCCAACCCAAACGAUUGCUGUUUGUUCAUUAGCUCAUUGCCCUCCUCAUGGGAAGGUGGCCAUAUUCCCCAGCUGGAAACUUAGUACUUGUCUUUGAUCUGUGCGCAGCUUGCUCCAUUGAAAAGCUGUGCAGCCAAAGGUUUCAAACACGUGGAGGUAUGUUGUUCGACAUAUAGGAACUUGCAGCUUGUGCAGAAUAACAAUCGGAUUAUUCAUAUGUUAUACCUGUCUUGUGGUAUCAGAUGUAGGAUGAAUGAUCUUAAAAUGCAUUUUCUUAUUACCAUAGAAUCAACUAAUAUACUUGAUUGGAAGUUUACUCUGCCCUGCCAUUUCCGUUUCAUAGAAAUGCACUCCUGAUAAGCGUUCGUUUUCGUCAAGAAGGAUCCUUGUAUGUAGAAAUGUAUUUUCUGUGGGCCAAUAUCGUAUUGGACAUGUUUCACAAGUUGAUGCAGUGACGAUGUUUUGAUGCAAUGACGAUGCAGUUGAUGCAAUGACCUCUGCCAAGUAUAAUUUCAGGUAACUGUAGCAGCCCGUACAUGCAUGAACAUAUUCUCUGUGUGGUUUUUGAAGAACUUAACAGGAUCGAACUACUUUCGAGGAUGUCACUCCUCUGGUACUUCUAUGUAUACAAGAAAAUUUUGGAACUUGGUGAAACAGUAUUACUCGAAUAAGCCCAAUGGCAUUAAUUUUGAGCAGUUGAAGGUUACGAAUUGCUUCCCACAGAAGACAUUUGACAUGAUGGUUGAUUGUGUGGACGGUGGAGAGUACUUUCUUCCUAUCAAGCAUGUCAUCGGUCCCGGUGUUGCAUGUAGAUGUGGCGGUUCCUGCUGCUGAGCUCCUCGCACUCUCACAAUAUGUUACCACUGAGCAGGAGUACUGAGGAAGGGCGUCUCUCAUCUACAUGAAUAAGCAAGGGAUUGCCGCAGAUGAUGUUGCAGACUCCCUGCGAAUCUUACAGUUGGAUAAUCUACUGCUACAAUUUUGCUUACUUUUGGUGAAGUGAGCCCAGAUGUGUUCGAUCAAGCACUGGACGUCAGCCGAGGAUGCUGUUACUGAGAUCAAAGGAUGACGAACAACUCGAUACUUCUUGCAAUCUGUUGAACUGCUACAGUGAGACAACUUCACUUUUAAAAGCUUUACACAUGCUGUAAUGCUUGUUUACAGAACUGAGUAUUAACCAGUUAUGAAUACAUGCUAUAAAUACCUCCGAUGGCACAGUUUGAAAUCCAUGGACUUCGACCGUAGAAAUCGAUAAGUUGUAGUUUCUUCUACACAAAUUAAAAGGAUUUGAUUUUUGUGUGUGACUGGUUGUAGGCUAAAGCUUUUUGUCUGUGAAUCAGAGACAUCUUGAAUUUCAGGAACCGCUUUUGCUGCAAACCUUGGAAUCCUGUCCAAAUUAAUUUGUCUUCGAAUUUAUCUCA